rnacentral:rRNA from 1 species
AACGAACGCUGGCGGCAGGCCUAACACAUGCAAGUCGAGCGCCCCGCAAGGGGAGCGGCGGACGGGUGAGUAACGCGUGGGAACGUACCCUUUUCUGCGGAAUAGCUCAGGGAAACUUGGAUUAAUACCGCAUACGCCCUUCGGGGGAAAGAUUUAUCGGAGAAGGAUCGGCCCGCGUUGAAUUAGGUAGUUGGGGGGGUAAUGGCCUACCAAGCCGACGAUCCAUAGCUGGUUUGAGAGGAUGAUCAGCCACACUGGGACUGAGACACGGCCCGGAACCCAACGGGAGGCAGCAGUGGGGAAUCUUCGGCAAUGGGCGGAAGCCUGACCGAGCCAUGCCGCGGGAGCGAUGAAGGCCUUAGGGUUGUAAAGCUCUUUCGCCAGGGAUGAUAAUGACAGUACCUGGUAAAGAAACCCCGGCUAACUCCGUGCCAGCAGCCGCCGUAAAAC